CUUUACGCGAUAGUGAUUGCAGCGGCAUCCUUUUUGUAAAGCAUUUAAAUAGGCUAUGCUUUAAUUUUUAACUGAAAUUUCUUUGGAAUUGAACAGAUCCUGAAACAAGUUCAGGAUUGCUUUGCAAAAAGAUAUAGCGGAAAGCGCGGUUUAUU
rfam:Algibacter lectus DNA, contig: contig00001, strain: JCM 19300.